GAUGAACGCUGGCGGCGUGCCUAAUACAUGCAAGUCGAGCGAACAGACGAGGAGCUUGCUCCUCUGACGUUAGCGGCGGACGGGUGAGUAACACGUGGAUAACCUACCUAUAAGACUGGGAUAACUUCGGGAAACCGGAGCUAAUACCGGAUAAUAUAUUGAACCGCAUGGUUCAAUAGUGAAAGACGGUUUUGCUGUCACUUAUAGAUGGAUCCGCGCCGCAUUAGCUAGUUGGUAAGGUAACGGCUUACCAAGGCAACGAUGCGUAGCCGACCUGAGAGGGUGAUCGGCCACACUGGAACUGAGACACGGUCCAGACUCCUACGGGAGGCAGCAGUAGGGAAUCUUACGCAAUGGGCGAAAGCUUGACGGAGCAAAGCCGCGUGAGUGAUGAAGGUCUUCGGAUAGUAAAACUCUGUUAUUAGGGAAGAACAAAUGUGUAAGUAACUAUGCACGUCUUGACGGUACCUAAUCAGAAAGCCACGGCUAACUACGUG
rnacentral:rRNA from 1 species